CGCGUAGGCGGUUUGUACAGUCAGAAGUGAAAUUCCUGGGCUCAACCUGGGGACUGCUUUUGAUACGUGCAGACUUGAGUGAGGAAGAGGGUUGUGGAAUUUCCAGUGUAGAGGUGAAAUUCGUAGAUAUUGGAAAGAACACCGGUGGCGAAGGCGGCAACCUGGUCCUUUACUGACGCUGAGGCGCGAAAGCGUGGGGGAGCAAACAGGAUUAGAUACCCUGGUAGUCCACGCUGUAAACGAUGUGUGCUGGAUGUUGGGGAACUUAGUUUCUCAGUGUCGUAGCUAACGCGAUAAGCACACCGCCUGGGGAGUACGGCCGCAAGGUUGAA
rnacentral:rRNA from 1 species